AAAACAAGCUGGCUUGUCGCUUGGGUAACUAAGUCCAAGAGGAAAGUCCGGGCAAUACAGAGCGCCCUACUUCCUAACAGGAAGGCAUAUGGGAAACUUCCAUGUGACAGCAAGUGCCACAGAAAAUAAACCGCUUUCUAGUAAUUAUAGAAAGUAAGGGUGAAAAGGGGAGGUAAGUGCUCACCGCUCUAUUGGUGACAAUAGAGGCAGGGUAAACCUUAGGGAUUGCAAGGCCAAAUAGGCAUACCUAUGCUAUAGUAGUGUAACGGGUUGCUCGUCCGUUUUUUCUUUUCGAAGAAAAGGGUAUGUGGGUAGGCUGCUAGAGGUCAUGAGUGAUUAUGGCCCCAGAUAAAUGACAAGCGGUGCACAAUGGUGUACUACAGAACCCGGCUUAUAGGCUUGUUUUUCUU
rnacentral:RNase_P_RNA from 1 species